GCCCCUUCACAACAGGCUCCACCCAGCCACAACAAGCCCUGCCCACCAACACAUCUAUAUAUGACACUCUCUUACAGCAGCCUCAGCUCUGCAGCAGAAGGUGCUGACCCCGGGGGAGGAUGGAGGUUCCCUGGAGUGCCAGCAGCUGGGAUUGGUGGUCAAACAGGACAGCAGUGCCUGGCUAUAAACUUCACUUGGAUUGUAAGGGAAAGCACAGCACCCUCAGACCUACGGAAACCACAACACUGGGCCAAAUCAGGAGCAC
rnacentral:lncRNA from 1 species